rnacentral:rRNA from 1 species
GACGUAGGGCGCGAGCGUUGUCCGGAUUUAUUGGGCGUAAAGAGCGUGUAGGCGGCUAGGUAGGUCCGUUGUGAAAACUCGAGGCUCAACCUCGAGACGUCGAUGGAAACCAUCUAGCUAGAGUCCGGAAGAGGAGAGUGGAAUUCCUGGUGUAGCGGUGAAAUGCGCAGAUAUCAGGAGGAACACCAAUAGCGAAGGCAGCUCGCUGGGACGGUACUGACGCUAAGGCGCGAAAGCGUGGGGAGCGAACAGG